rnacentral:rRNA from 1 species
UACGUAGGUGGCAAGCGUUUGUCCGGAUUUACUGGGCGUAAAGAGCGCGCAGGCGGUCGUUCAAGUCGCGUGUGGAAGCCCCCGGCUCAACUGGGGAGGGUCACGCGAUACUGAUCGACUCGAAGGCAGGAGAGGGAAGUGGAAUUCCCGGUGUAGUGGUGAAAUGCGUAGAUAUCGGGAGGAACAUCAGUUGCGAAGGCGGCUCUCUGGACCAGCACUGACACUGAGGCACGAAAGCGUGGGGAGCAAACAGG